CUUCUACAGCCACACAAAAGGCAACAUACCAAUACAUUUUUUUGGCCCUGUCUUCUGUGUGGAAAGCUUAGUGAAAAGAGAAUGUACUCUUGGCCCGUUGUAUAAUAAAAAGGAGACUGCUGUUGCAGAUCAUCUGGUGGACCAUGUUAACCCAAAGAAGAAGAGAAAAGUUCUCAUGGACACACAAAAGAAAGGCUGUCCAGCAACAUUGGAUGUUAAGUGUGUCAGGAUAUUCCCCGAUUAUGCGAUAAACUCGGCAACAGACAGUUCAAAAAAAAGAGUACUCUGUGUUCUUGUGCCACAUUUAAAAGCAGCAUUCAGAUCAGCUUAUUUGGUUCUUUUGUAUUGCAUGGGAGCAAUGGACAAGCCACAAGCAAAAUUUACAAGAGAGUUGCAGUUGCAGAUCACCUUGGCAACAUCAAGGUGACACAGCUGUCUUCUCCCAGCAGCGAGAGGCAAUGUUGUGAUCAUUCCUCUGAACCUCCUUCUCUCGUGGAAAGUGUAAUUGACACACAAUGCAUACCCAGGUGCGGUAGUCCCUACCGUUACAAAUAAGGUUGCUGUGGCACAUUACCUGGUUGUGUAUCAUCAAGUCAAGACCGUAUCAGUCCAAGGGAAAAUAUAAUGAACACAAAUGAGUGCCCAGCUACAGUUUCAGACAAAUGGCUGAAUUUUCCAAGUUUUCUGUACAGUGAACAAAUUACCACAUGGAGACAAAAGUUGCUGCAGAAGUGGCCUUGGUGUUAAAGUAAGACAGAAAGGCAAAUUUCUGAUUUUUUUUUUUUUUUU